rnacentral:lncRNA from 1 species
AAGAAUAAGAGGCUCUUUUAGAACGUUAAACCAGAUCCUUAUUGGUUUCAGCCCUCAACUGAUUAUUUUGUAGGUAAAAGAAAGCCUGAGGAGGCUUUCCCCUCUGAGUUUUUCCGUGGAUUGCUGGACUCUGAGGCCCUCAUUCCUCUUGCAGGAGGUGUGGAGCAAAACUGUGUUGAAUGAACUGUAGAUGGAAAUUCUCUCCUUCCCACCGAGGAGCCGCUGCAGGUUGCAGACUCCCAGAAUGCCACACUGAGAAGAGGAGGGCUAAAAUUCUAGAGCAGAAUCCCUGGGGCAGCCCCUGCUGAAGAAGGGUGCAUCUGUUGAGAAUCUCAUCACCGCCCCCACCCCGCCCAGCCUUCAAUUUAGAGGAAUUUCUAGUUCACGCAGAAUGAAGACAAGAUCACAUAAGUGAGGACGACGCCCCAUUUACAAGUGUGAUUUGGAAGACUGAAGUGGAAACCUUGGGAAGGGGCCUCAGAGUAUGUCAGCUGGGGUCAGACGGGAACAGGAGUCUGGCUCAACACACAUUUAUUGCACUCCUGUUUCAUGCCAAGAAAUGUACCAAAAUCUGGGACUGUGUAACACAGCAAAGGAAAAGACUCAUCUCCAGGAAGCCCCCUUGUCUAGGAAGAGAAAUUGAAUAUCAGCAUAAGGUGGUGAAAAGCUGUGAAGGAGAUGAGUGCCAGGAGUCCAUGGAGGAAGGAUUCUAGCCUGGACAGGUGAUUGUGGUGAAUAGUCAUGAGAAUCUGGGAACUGGCUCCUGCUCUGUCUAUCUUGGAGAUGCAUCUUUUGUGAGAAGCCAGGGCAAGAAUAGGGAGGCUUAGGCAAUGGGAAGUUUCUGAGUAGAUAAAGCAGAUGGCAGAGCAAAGGGACAGAGCCUGGCGAGAGGCUACUCCCUGUAGCAACCUGCCUAAGAGUGAGAGGAAAGCAAGGCAUGGCUAUGAGCACGUGUAGUCUCAGCUACUUGGGAAGCUGAGGCUGGGGGAUCACUUGAGCCCAGGAGUUCAAGACCAGCCUAGGCAACAUAGUGAGACCAUGUCUCUUUAAAAAAAAAAAAAAAAAG